rnacentral:rRNA from 1 species
UAGGGAAUAUUGGACAAUGGGCGCAAGCCUGAUCCAGCCAUGCCGCGUGCAGGAUGAAGGUCCUAUGGAUUGUAAACUGCUUUUAUACAGGAGAAAUAAGCCCUUGCGAGGGCCUAUGAUCGUACUGUAAGAAUAAGCACCGGCUAACUCCGUGCCAGCAGCCGCGGUAAGACGGAGGGUGCAAGCGUUAUCCGGAUUCACUGGGUUUAAAGGGUACGUAGGCGGUCGAGUAAGUCAAUGGUGAAAUCUAGCAGCUUAACUGUUAACGUGCCAUUGAUACUGCUUGACUUGAGUAUAGUCGAGGUGGGCGGAAUUCUACAUGUAGCGGUGAAAUGCAUAGAUAUGUAGAGGAACACCAAUAGCGAAGGCAGCUCACUAGGCUAUUACUGACGCUGAGGUACGAAAGCGUGGGGAGCAAACAGGAUUAGAUACCCCCGUAGUCC